CACUUUAUAAACACUGUACACUUUGGCAACGCAACAUGUGUAAAAACAUAUUUUUCUUUCUUCAAUAAUAAAUCAAUUUAGCUUAGUGUCAAUUUUUACUUUUUUAAUUUUUUAACUUUUUGAUGCUUUUCUAGUAACACUUAGCUUAAAACAAACACAUUGUACAGAUGUACAAAAAUAUUUUCUUUCUUUCUUUCAACAAGCUUGCAGUUGUGUUUUCUUUCUUUAUAUCUUUAUUCUAUAAACUUUUUUCUACUUUAAAUAUUUUUUUAAGUUUUACUUUUACUCUUUAAACUUUUUUGUUAAAAACUAAGACACAAGCACACACUUGAGCCUAGGCCUAGACAGGGACAGGAUCCUCAGAAUCACUGUUUUCCACCUCCACAUCUUGUCCCACUGGAAGGUCUUCGGGGCAAUAACACGCAUGGAGCUGCCAUCUUCUAUGAUAGCAAUGCCUUCUUCCAGAUUCCUCCUGAAAGACCUGCCUAAGGCUGCUUUACAGCAGAGAAACUCUGGCAACCACAAUGAGAGUGACACCAGCUCCUAAGAAGGGUCGCGACCAUGCAACGUGAACAGAAUUCCAUGCCCCGACGCUGGCCCUGAGCGGAGGUCAUGUGCAGGCUGCAGAGAGGCCCCUGGCUGAGACAGCCAGCCAGGAAGGGGGAUCUCAGUCCCACAGCUCCAAGGAAGUGAAGUCCACCAACAGUCCAGAACAGAAACCCAUCCUCCUCUGGAGCCUCCAGAAGCAACGCAGCUCCGCGCCCCCCUGAUUCAGCCCAGCGAGGAGACCCACUGAGCACUUCCCACCCACGGAACUGUAGGAAGGUCUGCGGUGAGGAGUAAAUGGAGCCACGUCUAAGAAGCAGCUGGCACACUUGGGGCUGAGCCUGGACCAGCUCUUAGUACCAUGACUUCACUCUCAAGUCAUUGGGGUGAGGCUGCAGGGCACAGGGAGACUCUUCUGAGGGGCUCUUCUUGGAGACAUUUGUUACCAGGCAGCAGCCUUGACCACUCAGACAUUCAUUAUUCAUUUGAUAGACUGAUCAAUUUGUUCAUUUCUCCAUAAUAAAGCCCUGUACUAGGUGUUGGCUUUUGAGGAGUAAUGAAGCCACACAAAGUCUUUACCUUCAAGGAGUAGCCAGUCCAGGGUGGAAGACAGACUGCAAACUUAGCCAAGAAGUGGGGUGCAGCAGCCCAAACUCACAUAGCUAGUCCCGAAUGCCCUGCUCACAAAUGAGACAGAUGCAAAGUAGACGUUCCACCAAUGCUGUGUUGAAGCGAGGUGGGCUGAGCGGAUGGGGCAGGGGCCACCAUUGUGUCUCUGGCCAAAAGGGCUGCAUGUGAAGUGGCCUAGACGUCUGGUCAUGAGAGAGAUCAAAACUUCAAGGACGGGAGAAGAGUCAGGGUGGUUGGAGCAGAAAGUCCACGAGAAAGCGAGUGGAAAGAGGUGGUCGACAGGGGCCCAAGGGACGGGGCUUUGAGGGCCAAAGUGAGGAGGGGGACUUUACCCCAAAGGUGAUGGAGAGCCUGUGAAGGGUUUUAAUCCAGGGGCAGCACGUUGGAUCCAUGUCUGCAAAAGAUGCUCUUGCUCACGGAGCAAGGAAAGACAAUGGGUGAGAGAGGAAGCAGGAAUCUUGGUUAGAAAGCACCUGCCAUCAUCCAGGCCCAAGAGGCAAUUUGGGCCCUGCCACAGUCUCCUUCCCAGGAACCUUCGCUUCCUCCAGCUGUCUUGAGAGUUGACUGCUAGUGUAGAGUGUGCUGGAGCCAGCUCCUCCUGGCCUGAGAGAACUCAUUGUUAAAUAUUCAGGAAAUAUGUAAGCCCAUUGUUAAACCAUUGGUAGCUUUGCAAUUAGCAUAGAGAAUGUAUUGACACCACAGACAUUGGCAAAAGCUAUAAAUCAGCACUCUUCCUCCUGCGACCCCUGAGAGCUGGUUUACCAAAGCAUGGAUGCUUCUAAACACUCACUGCUGUCGCCUUCUCUGGAAAAGUGUCCGUGACUGAGAAGGUCCUCCUUGCCCACCCCACAGGCAUUGUACUGACUGGCAUGGGGUUUGAAUGCUUUGCCUCGCAGCUAACAUGGUUUCAACUCUGUGGCGUCAUUCCUGUUCCAGGGCUCCCCAUGGGACUGUGCUAGACUCCAGCUAAGACCAAUCCUUGCCCAGCCCCUUUCUGCCCUCACUGCCUUUCCAGCUUCUCCUUAGAGCCCUCCUUCAAUACAUGCCUUGGAUGAGGAUCUCACAACAUUUGGCCAAAUGUGGUGCCCAGACCACUUGUAUCGUGGUCCUGGAAUCCCACCCUGGACCUACUGAGUCAGAGCCUUUGGAUUUGGGGCCCUAGCACCCGCCUUUGUAACAAAGGCUCUUUGAAACUAGUGUUUGAGGGAGCUUGGCUCAAGUUAGAGAAACAGAACGAAGACCUGCAGGGACCGAGCAGCCUUGAAUGGGGGACCCGAAAGAGGAACCCCACCCUAUGAAUGGACCCCAGGAGAGACACUAAGGAGUUGGAUUUUAUUGAUGUAAAGUAGCAAAUAUUCCUGUGUCCCC
rnacentral:lncRNA from 10 species